AGCGAACGCUGGCGGCGUGCUUAACACAUGCAAGUCGAGGGAGAACGGAGGGCUUCGGCCUUCUUAGUAAACCGGCGCACGGGUGAGUAACACGUAGGUAACCUACCUCCGAGUUCGGGAUAACCUGUCGAAAGAUAGGCUAAUACCGGAUAAGACCACGGUGGCUUCGGCCUCUGCGGUCAAAGAUGGCCUCUAUUUAUAAGCUAUCGCUUGGGGAUGGGCCUGCGCACCAUUAGCUAGUUGGUGAGGUAAUGGCUCACCAAGGCUACGAUGGUUAGUUGGUCUGAGAGGAUGACCAGCCACACUGGGACUGAGACACGGCCCAGACUCCUACGGGAGGCAGCAGUGGGGAAUAUUGCGCAAUGGGGGAAACCCUGACGCAGCGACGCCGCGUGGGUGAUGAAGGCCUUCGGUCGUAAAGCCCUGUCGGAGGGGAAGAAGGACGUCUCGUGCAAAUAGUUCGAGGGUUUGACGGUACCCUUACGAGGAAGCACCGGCUAACUCCGUGCCAGCAGCC
rnacentral:rRNA from 1 species